rnacentral:lncRNA from 1 species
AUGCAAUACAGCAUCCAUCCCGCGCUUAACGGCACCACCUAGACUGCUACUGAGUGUGGGAACCAGCAAGACCAUCCAAGUUUGGAACUUCAAAUAGCCAGGAUUUCAUGACUGAGCCACCAAGACCCUCUCAGAGCAUCAGUCCCAAGGAGAUGGCCAGAGUCGCUGAACAAAUCAUCAGGGUGUCCUUUUACACCUUGUUGCUACCAGCACUUGUCAAGAAGAGCAGUGAGUCAAUUGCUUGAAUGGAGGUACCAAAGGAUAUUUUAAAACUGUGUCUACUAACUCCUGUCUUGAGCUGAACCGCAGGCCAGGUCUUCCUUCACUGCCACUGAAGCUUAAAGGCUCCCAGAUAACAUGGAACAGUGGCUCUCACUGAUCAGCUAACUAAUCAGGGCUGUGGACACCAAGAAUGCCAACUUUGAUUCUUCAAGGAAAAUCAGCAGCUGACCACACACCACCCUUCCUGGUCCUCCCCGAGAUGCCAAGAACAUCCAAAGUCUGCAGUUUUGAGAUGUUACCCUUCGGAUGCAUACCUCAAUCUGCCUGAAAAUCAUGGAAUUCUGGAGAUGGAAGGGACCUCAGAGAUUUUCUGGUUCUCUCUGUUCUGGUUGUAAGUGUUCUUACCACACACCACUCCCAACCAUGGGGAGCCUUUCCACCACUGAAGAGAGCUGGGGUUACUAAAGCCACAAUCAGCUUCUCUGCAACUUCUAACCAUUUGGCUAAGAUCAGUUUUUCUGAAACCACAAAGAAAAAAAAUCUACGAACAAGUACUAGCGUACCAAUGUUCACAGUAGCAUUAUUCACAAGUCAUAAGGUGGAAGCAACCCAAAUGUCCAUCAACAGAUGAAUAGGUAAACAACAUGCGGAAUAUACAUCCAAUGGAAUCCUCUUCAGCCUCAACAAGGAAGGAAAUUCCAGUGCAUGCUAUAACAUAGAUGGACCUCAAGGACACUGUGCUAAGUUAAUUAAGCUAGACACAAAAGGACAAAUGCUGUAUGACUCCACUUGUAUGAGGUCUCUUGAGUAGUCAGAAAGCAGAAUGGUGGCUGCCAGGAGCUGGGGGGGGGGGCAGGAAGAAUGGGGAGUUAUUGUUUAAUGGGAACAGAGUUUCUGUUUGGGAUGAUGAUAAAGUUCUAGAAAUUGAUAGCUGUGAUGGUCACACAACAUUGUGAAUAUAAUUAAUGCCACAGGACUGUAUAUUUAAAAAUGAUUAAAAUGGCAGAUUUUAUGUUAUGAUAAAAAAAUACAAAAAGAUAAAUCUACUCUCCCUUCAGGGGAAGACAGCCAUUCACCUAAAUCUUUUUCAGGCUAACAGUCUCCAGUUUUUUCUAACAAUCUUUAGGUGGUAUGAUUUCCAGGCCCCUGCAGCUUCCUGGCCACCCUCCUCUGGCUACACUUAAUGCCUCUUUGAAAACCUGGUACCCAGAACUGAAUGGUGGACUGCGCUCAGCUUCUCCUUCCAGGUCCCGCCCUGAGGCACCCGGCUUAACCCCCAAGUCAAACGCUGCACAGAGCAGGCCUGCUGCCUGCCCACUCUGGCUACCAGGCCAAAGGCCCAGGUCUGGAAGAAUAAAAAGAUGCCACCACCCUACUACCUUGCUGCUGCUCCAUCCCCAGACAG